CCACAUUUGGGAUGUGGAGGUCGUAGGUUCGAAUCCUGCCACCCCGA
rnacentral:tRNA from 1 species